CUUUAGUGGCGGACGGGUGAGUAACACGUGAGCAACCUGGCUUUCAGAGGGGGAUAACGUCUGGAAACGGACGCUAAAACCGCAUAAAAUCCUUGGCGGGCAUCCGCAGGGGAUCAAAUGAGAAAUCAGCUGAAAGAUGGGCUCGCGGCCGAUUAGGCAGUUGGCGGGGUAACGGCCCACCAAACCGACGAUCGGUAGCCGGACUGAGAGGUUGAACGGCCACAUUGGGACUGAGACACGGCCCAGACUCCUACGGGAGGCAGCAG
rnacentral:rRNA from 1 species